rnacentral:rRNA from 1 species
UACGGAGGGGGCAAGCGUUGUCCGGAUUUACUGGGCGUAAAGGGCGCGUAGGCGGCAACUCAAGUCAGCUGUGAAAUCUCCGAGCUUAACUCGGAACGGUCAGCUGAUACUGUUUUGCUAGAGUGCAGAAGGGGCAAUCGGAAUUCUUGGUGUAGCGGUGAAAUGCGUAGAGAUGUGGAGGAACACCGAUGGCGAAGGCAGCCCCCUGGGUUAACACUGACGCUCAGGCACGAAAGCGUGGGGAGCAA